CCCGCUGAACUUAAGCAUAUCAAUAAGCGGAGGAAAAGAAACUAACAAGGAUUCCCCUAGUAGCGGCGAGCGAAGCGGGAAAAGCUCAAAUUUGUAAUCUGGCGCUUUCGGCGUCCGAGUUGUAAUCUCGAGAAGUGUUUUCCGCGUCAGACCGCACACAAGUCUCCUGGAACGGAGCGUCACAGUGGUGAGAACCCAGUACACGGUGCGGAUGCCUGAUGCUUUGUGAUACACUUUCGAAGAGUCGAGUUGUUUGGGAAUGCAGCUCAAAUUGGGUGGUAAAUUCCAUCUAAAGCUAAAUAUUGGCGAGAGACCGAUAGCGAACAAGUACCGUGAGGGAAAGAUGAAAAGCACUUUGGAAAGAGAGUUAACAGUACGUGAAAUUGUUGGAAGGGAAACGCUUGAAGUCAGACUUGCUAUUCGGAGCUUGCUUCGAUUCGCAGGCCCGCAUCAGUUUUCCGGGGCGGAAAAUCGUAAGGAGAAGGUAGCAGUUUCGGCUGUGUUAUAGCUCUUUACUGGAUUCGUCCUGGGGGACUGAGGAACGCAGCGUGCUUUUUGCAUGGGCUUCGGCCCAUCCACGCUUAGGAUGCGGGUGGAAUGGCUUUAAACGACCCGUCUUG
rnacentral:rRNA from 1 species